rnacentral:rRNA from 1 species
UACGUAGGGUGCGAGCGUUAAUCGGAAUUACUGGGCGUAAAGCGUGCGCAGGCGGUUCGUUAAGUUCGUUGUGAAAGCCCCGGGCUCAACCUGGGAACUGCAAUGGAAACUGGCGGGCUUGAAUGCGGCAGAGGGGGGUGGAAUUCCACGUGUAGCAGUGAAAUGCGUAGAGAUGUGGAGGAACACCGAUGGCGAAGGCAGCCCCCUGGCUAACACUGACGCUCAUGCACGAAAGCGUGGGGAGCAAACAGG